CCACACACAGGCAUCCCGUCAGUUCGGUUCGGUCUCGGAAGUCUUCCGCUAUACGCGCGAGCGAGUGCUGCGGCCUGCGUCUCUCUCGCUCGCUCACUCUCGCACACGCCAACGCGAGUUGCAGCCGCGCAUCGGAGAGUGCGUGUAUAGUUCCAGGCCAGCGUACGCGCAUGGCGGAACGGGAAAAUCCUCGGCGGCGUCUCGACCGACCCCCCGCGUCUCUCUCGCCCAUAUUGCGGAUGCGCGCGCGCCCGCGCCCCCCGGAGCCCGCCGCCUCACCCGCGGACGUCGUGUCGUGUCUACUCUCUCGGGCUCUCUCGUAUAUUGCGUAUACGCCGUAUAAACCCCCCCGCACGGGACAGUGUGUGUGCUGCGCUGUGCAUAGCCCCUGUGUGUUGGUGACGGUAGCUCGGGGCAGCAGCAGCGACGAGACUGCAACUGCUGGCUAGUACUUAGUAAACGCAGGGACUCGCGACUGUGACUGCGAGCCCGCAGUGUGAUAUGGGGAGGAGCUGGAGGAGCUGGCGGAGCUGCGACGGAGACGUCUACACCAUCGCUAGGCUUUCCUGAGAGCCGGACCUUUGCACUACUCUGCGCAGUACACGACUCUUUUCCCAAGAGCAGAUUAUGUGUGUGGAUUGAUACUCCAGUGCGUGCGCGAGUGCGAGAAGAGAGAAGAGAAGCCGCUGCCGCGGCGUGCUGCUGCAGGACAACGAGGAAGCGACGACGCCGAGACGAUCAUGCCGAGGCCGCUGCCACAGGGACGUUCCUACGGCCGCUGCAGUAGCGAACGAGAUCAGAGUGAUAGCAAGUGACAAUAAAUAUGGAUAACCUGCGGCCGCUGAUAACGAAGAUGGACAUAAUCCGGGCCGCCGAGGUGCUACCGUUGCUGCAGGAGCGGCUGGCUAUAAUGCCGGGCGGUCGGGACCGCAGAGGUGGCCUCUUGCUGCUCUUCCCAACGACACCGCGACGCGAACGCGCCAAGCCCGAGGACUAUCGCCGACUGCUCCAGUACCUCAUGGCCAUACCCAACGACGACGAUCGGGGAUUACGAUUCACCAUUGUCGUCGACAUGCGCGGCGCCACUUGGGACUCCGUCAAGCCCAUACUCAAGGUACUGCACGACCACUUCCACCACUCGGUCUACGUGGCCUUCCUGAUAAAGCCGGAGAACUUUUGGCAGAAACAAAGGACUUCGCUGGCCAAGCAGAAGAAGUACAACUUUGAGAUAAAUACAGUUAGUUUAGAAGCGCUAGCUAGAAACAUAGACCCUUCGCAGCUCACUGCAGACUUAGAUGGCUCUCUUCAGUACGACCAUGCCCAGUGGAUCGACGUUCGUUUAGCAGUAGAAGAUUUCACUUGGCAGGCUACUGACCUACUCGAUAGACUAGACGACUUACAGGAGGAUCUCAGUCGUAAUGAUUUUGCUGACGAUGUCGGGGGAGCGAAACAUGGUAUCGAUCUCCACAACGAAAUGAAGAAGAAAAUCAUGAAAGUUCCAGUUGAAGAAAUUGGAGUCGUCGGUAAUCGACUCCUACAGCGCUUCAACAUAAAUGUAAACGGUAGCGGUGAGGGUGGCAGCAUCGAGUCUGGAGCGACAGGAGGUUCCGAGUCCGACAGCCGUGACAUAGCUAAUAUCGUCAUUCAACACCUCGACUCGGUGAACGCUGCCCAGCAGCACUUACUGCAGCUCUGGCACAUCAAGAAAAAGAAGCUCGACCAGUGCUUCCAGCUCAGAAUGUUCGAGCAGGACUGCGAGAAAAUGUUCGAGUGGAUCUGCCACAAUCGCGAGAACUUUUUGGCCAACUACGUAGAAAUCGGAAGAUCUUAUCAGCUGGCAAAAAAUCUACAAGAAGAUCACAAGCACUUUGCCAUGAACUCGAUGAACAUGUACGUCAACAUCAACAAAAUCUUGACAAUGGCCGGUAGGUUUCUGGAGACGCAGCACUACGCAGCCGGCCACGUACGAGCUGUGGCUGGCCGACUUGAUCGCGCCUGGAAGGAGUUUGCCGCCGGGCUUGAUGAACGAACGGCGGUUCUCGGCCUCAGCGUCGUUUUCCAUCACAAGGCUGAACAGUAUGUAGACAGCGUGGCGGGUUGGAGUCAAGCUUGCGAUGCCACGAAUCUGCCAGGCGAAAUUGCGGUGCUCGAGACGCUCAUCAGACAACAUCAGACGCUCUACGAGGCCAUGUGUCAGGCUUACACGGAGGUCCAUAGUACCAGUAAGAAGCUUCUUUACCAGCUGGACCAUCUCGUGCAAGUCUGUAACCAACCCCAGGGGAUAGACCACACGACGAGAAAACACAGUCAGGACGGCCACAUGGACGGCCGUGGUGGAAUGAGUGGGAAUCCGGCAGCCGACUACAGCGAAGGCGCGUCGCACGUGCUCGCGGUCAUACACCAGAUACUGGGACAUCAUCGGGCGCUCGAAGCUCGCUGGCACGCUAGGAAGAUCAAGCUGCACCAGAGACUGGCGCUGAGACUAUUCCAAGAGGACGUGAAGCAGGUGCUGGACUGGCUGACGAACCACGGCGAGGUCUUCAUCCGCAAAAACACAGGCGUGGGCAGGAACCUGCAGAAAGCGCGCGUGUAUCAAAAGAGCCACGAGCACUUCGAGAACGUCGCGCAGAACACCUACACGAACGCCUCGAAGCUGCUGACCGCGGCCGAGGAGCUUGCCCACACGGGUGAAUGCGCCCCGGACGAGAUCUAUGCGGUCGCCCAAGAGCUCGAGGCCCACGUCAGUAGCUUCGCCGCGCGUGUGGAGCAGCGUCGACGUAGGCUCGACCUUGCCGUUGUCUUUUAUACGCACGAGAAAGAGCUAUCCGGUUGGGUUGACGAGCUGCGGCAGGAGCUGCAACAGGACGAAGUUGCCGAGAAUCUCGAGACGGCCGAGCGUUUAUUAGAGCAAUGCGCCCAGCACAGGACCUCUUGUUUGGAAGCUUGUGCAUCCACCAUAGUGCAGGGCGAGGCGCUGCUUCAGGAGCUCAGGGACUCUACCGAGAUGCCCGAUACCACCGGAUCUAUCGCAGCAGUGGAAGCAGCGCUGGAUAGACUGGCAGGUCUCCGUCAAGAACUCGAAGAUCUGUGGGCGACUCGGAAGCUUCGUCUUGAGCUUUGUCUAAGGUUGCGAGUUUUCGAGCGUGAUGCCCUCGAGGCUAGUGGCCAACUCGAAAUGUGGGCCCAGGAGAUGCAGAAUCCACCUCGUGAAGGUUCGCCUGAACAGCUAUUACGAGCUCAUAACGAUGGUGUCGUGCAUAUGCAGAACACUGCGUUCCAGGUGCUACAACAGGGCCAAGAACUAGCCCAGAGGAAUUUCCUUUACCAAACGCAGGUCCUCGAUCAAUCUGGCGUCUGCAUCAUGGCUGACGGUCAACACACGGCUGCUAACCGCGUCCAAGUUUUACUCGAAUUUCUAAACGAGCGUGAAAUGGAUGCCGAAGAAAUGGCAGAAAAUCGCCGUGUCAUACUCGAACAGACGGCUCAGUUGGUGCAAUUGCAGCAAGAUGCAGGCCAUGUCGCCAAUUGGAUCAGGAACGGCGAGGCGAUGCUACUAACAACGCUCAGAAUACCGGAGAACCUACAGGAUGCUGAACAGCUCAGACACGAGCACGAGCAGUUCCAGGUCGCUAUCGAGAAAACACAUACAUCAGCUGUGCAGGUGAAACAUCGGGCGGACGCACUGGUUAGCGCCAACCACUACGAUCCAAAGAGCAUACGCGACGUAGCCGAAGACGUGACGAAGAGGUGGCAGCAGCUGGUGACGUGCGCGGAAGAGCGACACAAACUCGUAACUGCGAGCAUCAACUUCUACAAAACCGCGGAACAGGUACGGUCAGUCCUUGACAGUUUGGAGCGCGAGUACAAACGUGACGAAGACUGGUGUGUAGGUGGAGAAAAGGCCAAUCAAGUACCGAAUUACAUUACCAAACACCAAGAACAGAAGGAAGCUUUUUUGAAAGCGUGCACUUUAGUCAGGCGGACGGCAGAGACAUUCCUCAAGUAUACGAACCGCAGCCUGCAAUUUUACAGCUAUCAAACCACGGGUGUUGCUUCAGAAAACAAAGUCAAAAGCAUUUUGGAGGAACUUCUGAGUAAGGAGAACAAAGUCCUUGAAUACUGGACGCAGCGCAAAAAGCGGCUGGACCAAUGCCACCAAUUCGUACUGUUCGAGCGCAGCGCCAAGCAGGCCCUCGAGUGGAUCAGCGAGACCGGCGAACUGUAUCUUGCGACGCACGCCAGCGCCGGGCGCAAUCGCGCUGAGAACGAGCAGCUCCUGCACGAGCACAACGAAUUCAAGGGGGCAGCCAAGGAAACUCGCGAAAGAGUGAAACUGCUUAUACAAUUAGCUGACAACCUUGUCGAAAAAGGUCAUGCCCAUGCAGCUGCAAUUAAACAGUCAGUCGCCGAGGUGGAUCAGCGAUACAAGGACUUCAGCAUGCGAUUAGAUUGCUAUAAGACGACAAUAGAAGAUGAUUUAGAAAUACAGUCUGAUGAGGGUCCGAAAGAGAUAACCAUAGAUAGAAAUUCAGACCCUCUUUUAGAAGAGAAAAUUAAAGGAAAAGAUUUGAAGGAGUUAAAUGAAGAGAAACGUAGAUCUGCUAGACGAAAAGAGUUUAUAAUGGCUGAGCUUUUACAAACUGAAAGAACUUAUGUUAAGGAUUUAGAAACUUGCAUUAGAUGUUUCCUUGAAGAAACAAGAGCCAAUAAAAGUAACGUACCUCAGGGUCUUCAAGGUCGUGAAUCAAUAAUUUUUAGCAAUAUGGAGGAAAUACACCGGUUUCAUUGCGAUAUUUUCCUCCGUGAAUUGGAAAAAUACGAGACAAUGCCUGAAGAUGUCGGACAUUGUUUUGUUACUUGGGCUGCCAAAUUUGAUAUGUAUGUGACUUACUGCAAGAAUAAGCCAGAAAGCAAUCAGUUAUUAGUUACGCAUGGUGGCACAUGGUUCGAGGAUUUGCAAAGAAAGCACAGAGUGGAACAUCCGAUUGCUGCUUACUUAAUCAAACCCGUGCAGAGAAUCACAAAAUAUCAGCUUCUACUCAAAGAUCUCCAGGCAUGUUGCCAGGAAGGUCAAGGCGAAAUCAAAGAUGGUCUCGAAGUUAUGCUGAAUGUGCCUAAAAAAGCAAACGAUGCCUUACACUUGAGUCUUUUAGAAGGCUGCGAUGUCAGGAUAGAUACACUCGGCGAUGUAGUUUUACAGGAUCCCUUUACAGUUUGGGAUCCUAAGCAAUUAAUCAGAAAAGGUAGAGAAAGACACAUUUUCCUUUUCGAGCUGUACUUACUCUUCAGCAAAGAAGUAAAGGAUUCUGCUGGCAAGGUAAAGUACAUCUACAAAAGCCGGCUGAUGACCUCUGAAUUGGGCGUGACGGAGCACAUCGAGGGCGACGAGUGCAAGUUUGCGGUGUGGACAGGUCGUGCGCCGACAAGUGACACCCGCGUUGUUUUGCGCUCCAACUCCCUAGAGUCGAAGCAACUAUGGGUGAAGCGACUUCGCGAGGUCAUCCAGGAGACAUACUUUAGUCUUAGUAUGCCGAAGAGUCCGGCAAAGAAGAGCUCGAGCCAGAGGUCCAGCAGGGAUCUUGAAGAGUGCGCUUCUCUGGAUGACAGUGUCGAAAAUCUCGAUAGAAACUCCCUUGCUUCAUUCGGAUCCACCAAUACCACAGACUCCGAUAAGAUGAUCCUUUUCUCUUUGCAGACCGGCGUAGCGGAGAUGACGUGGGUGGUAGCAGAUCACUCGGCAGCCCCGGGUACUCGGGAGCUCAGCGUUACAAAGGGCCAGCAGGUCGAGGUGUUGGAAAACGGCAGCGGCAGCGGUUUGGGCAGCAACGGAGGCAGUGGUAACGGCGAGUGGACAUUGGUCAGGCUGGCCUCGACUCCCGGUCAGUCGGAGCCGCCGGCCGAGGGUCUCGUGCCGACGAGCGCGCUCAAGCAGCCACCCACCGCCACCUGCAAGACCUCGCCCUCGCGCAAACCACCGCUCGCGGCUGCACAGGCGCAGACGCCCCUACAGCAGGCCUCCCUCAACGCCGACGAUGAAAUCAUUGGAAGUGACGGAUGCGGAUCCGCGAACACAAGCUCGCCGGGCAACAAGAGACGCGGCUUCAGCGGGCGAAAGUGGCUGCCACCACCGCUGCGCAAGCUGAGCCAGUCUAAGGUGGACAAGUCAGCAGCCACCUCGGACCGACCGCCUCCUCCACCGCCGCCGCCUCUGCCCUCGUCGACGAAAAAGAGCAGCGGUCUCGACAAGCUGUUCAAGUUGCCGAGCUCGGGGUCGAGCGACAAGUCUCAGGCGGCUGCGGCCGCGGCCGCCGCAGCAGCAGCUGCAGCAGCCUCCUCCUCCAGUGUCGCCUCGACGACCACCCCCAACGCGACCACGACGACGGCCUCGAGGCAGAGCAGCGGCGAAGAGGAAGUCGUGGGAGCCUCCGGCGCGGAGGACAACGAGGACGCGAGGAGCGUAGGCACGGGAGCCUCGCACUCCGAGCAGAACGGCGCCGAGGACGCCGAGGACGAGCAGCCCGAGCUGCCGCCGCCCAUGAAACCCAUCACUGAGCCGAUCCUCGUGGCCGGAGCUGCGGCUGCUCCAGCCAGCAGCGACGAGCUGCCCGGCAAACUGACGACGGAGGGCUCGAUCAAGCCACUCGACGGGGCCACCAGCGCCGACAUCGCCGAGAUUGAGCAGAUCGUCAAGGAGCGAAUGGAGCAACACACGGAAAACCGUGAGCGCAACAGCAGCACGAGCAGCAGCGUUGGCACGCAGGCUCGCACCCCCGUCAAGUCGAGCUCUGCAACGGCCGGUGGUUCGUCGGACUCGCCGACAUUGACGGGCUCGCUGUCAACGCAAAAUGCCUCGACGGAGAGCGAGGAACCGCCGACGACAGGUAGCGACGACCCCGUGGCGUCGGCUCUCACCAAGCGGCAAUUCGUUAUCCGCGAACUCGUCGAAACCGAGCGCGACUACGUGAACGACCUGCGCCAGAUCGUCGAGGGCUACAUGGCUCUCAUGCGAGAUCCUAACACCGAUAUACCUCUACCGGACGAUCUUAAGGGCGGCAAGGACAAAAUGGUCUUUGGCAAUAUCGAGGCUAUGUACGAGUGGCACCGGGAUUGCUUCCUGAAAUCGCUGGAGCACUGUCUCGAGCGACCAGAAGAACUCGGCCCGCUGUUCAAACGUUACGAGAGGAAGCUGCACAUGUACGUUGUUUACUGUCAGAACAAACCUGUCUCGGAGUACAUCGUAUCAGAGUAUAUCGACACUUACUUUGAGGAACUCAGGCAGAAAUUGGGUCAUCGGCUGCAGCUGUGCGACCUCCUCAUAAAGCCAGUGCAGAGGAUCACGAAGUAUCAGUUGCUGCUGCGUGAGGCGCUAAGACUGACCCAGCGCACGCACCGACAGUCGGAGAUCGAGGGCCUGACAGCAGCCGCGCAUGUCAUGCACGUGAUACCCAAGGCAGCCAAUGACAUGAUGGAUGUUGGAAGGCUACAAGGCUUCGACGGUAAAAUAACUGCGCAAGGUAAACUCUUACUUCAUGGACCGCUGAUGGUUGCCGAGCUUUCGUCGCUGCCAAGUCGAGGAAGAGAAUGGCAAGUUUUUCUCUUCGAGCAAAACAUUAUCUUCAGUGAGGCUGUCGGUAAAAAGACACAAUUCACAAACCCCGCCUACAUAUACAAAGCUCACAUUCAGGUAAACAAAAUGAUCCUGGAAGACUCGCCGGACGAUCCAGAGAAGUUCGUUAUCCGUUCGACGGAUCCGCGCAAGCCCGGAUUGGGCUUUGUGUGUGGCUGCUGUCCCGCAUCGACCGACGAAAGCAUUACAGGCAGCGUUGGUGGCUCUGGCAGUACUUCGGGCAAUCCGCUCAGACGUCAGGAGUGGGUAGACACCAUCACUUCGAUACUGCAAACGCAACGCGACUUCCUCAAGGCGAUACAGUCGCCGAUCGCCUACCAAAAGGAACUUACCAAAGACCCACUUCGCGGUUCGACGCCGGAACCUUCGUCAUCAUCUACCCGCUCGCUCCUGGCCGGCGGCGGCAGCAAGGACUCGACUACCAGCAGUGCGAGCAACAGCCCAUCCAGAAAGGCCCAGCCUAUGCAUCGAUCGCGCACCGGAGGACCGUUAGACGGAGGUGGAUCAGAUUCUCCAAGGACGCCUAGUCCCACGAAGAGCAAACUCAACUUCCUCGAAGGAUUCCGAAACACGCUACGCGCGAGAUCGCCAGUGCGCAUUGGCACUGUACCGCAGAGGGACCCGACUUCCGCUUCUUCGUUUUUCUCUUGAUGUCUGUCUAUAACCGCUCUCUAUUGCCUUGCCUUCUGUCGCGGUGACGACAAGCCUGCGUACUUUUACUGCUAAACAAUCGUCGGAGAGAAUAGCGAGUGGUAUUGGACCUUAACAAAAUCCUACUCUGUCACUCGCUCGCAUUUACACGAUUUAGACGAAGUAUAGACUACAAACAAAAAGUACACACGCAGCUUAGAAGCAAAAUUAUACAAAAAGCGCAAGGAGAAAAUAUUCAAUAGGAGCGGCGACAAUGCCGAUGAAAUAGUAUAGAUACGCAUAUAGAAGCCAAUUUAGCUUUUUUCUGCAUACGAAGCAAUAGCAAGAUGUAUGCUACCGAAAACGGGUUCUGUACGAUCAACUGAUUUAUAUCGUUGUCGAUCUAUGGUGGUGGUCUUUUCUCUGGUUAGCGAACGGAAUUGAGCGUGAUUUUAAGGUGGCGUUGAGGUAACUUCUCUCUCAAAUUACGAAUUGAUUUACCUAAACUUCAAAUAAUAAUGUUCAAUAACAUUUUCUAAUUAGAAAAAUUGCCCUAAACCAUUAUCCUUUGUCUUCGUUUAUACUGUUCAUGAUUAUACAAUUACUACUAUACUAUAAUUACUGUAACUAAUCUGUCUCUGGCUAUUUAAUCUGUAUACUGUACAUAUAGUAUUAUUAGUUUCUGUUAAUCUAAAAAGAGUUUACUGAAAAGUAAAAUAGCGGAUAAUAUUAAUUUCUCGCAAGUAUAAUAUGCGUGCAUAAAUGAUCUCAAAACAAAAAGUAACUGGUGCUGGAGAUAUUAUGGAUACGAAGCAUGUCGUUGCGCAGCAUGAGCCGAAGCAUGUUUACUUCUACUACUACUUCUUCUACUACUACUAUCUACGGUCCACAGGAAGAAUUUCACGCAACUAACUGACCGGUAGCCCCAGGUGCACGAGUACGUCUCUCAGCCGACUGGGGCGCGCUUCGGGCCGGCGACGACGUGGUGGUCCGGAGACUCGAGGGAAACGGUCUGGUGGUGACGCAAGCAGACAACGCCAAACAGGAGCACUGGAUCCCGGCUAGUCUCAUCCCGAACUCCUCUGUCAGUCGUGCCUGGUCCUUUAGGCCCAGAAAACUCAACGCCGAUAGGAUCGUUCCCGAGGCCGGAUCAAGUGCGAGUCCAGGAAUUCUGGGCAGUGGAUCAAAGUGUCCGUUGCCGCCGUGUGUAUCCAGUGCACCGACGCCGAUCAAGGCAAACAGCGGAGAGAUAGCCAGGCUUGCCGUUCAGGUGUCACAGGCCGAUGGUGCGGUAGUCGCUUGGCGACGAGAAGGUCAGGACAAAGAUAUCCAGGAAAGUGAUAGGUACAGACUGCGCCAGAGCGCUGGAUUCUUCUAUUUAGAAAUAACGAGAUGCAGGCCCGAGGAUUCCGGGGCUUACUGCUGCAGGAUCCAAUGCGACAACGGCUCCUGUUCGGCCAGAAUUUACUUAACUGUCAGCGGUGGCACGGGAACGACGUGGGCGCGAGUUCUCGACUCGACGCGCAUCGAGGUGGAUUGGGAAGGACAAGAGAUCGGCAAGUGCGAUGUUGAGUACCGCUCGAUGCCGUCGACCAACUGGACAACAGCCCUCGAGGACAUUGAGAAUCCACCUGUGGUGCUGGAUCUACUGCCAGGCGCAAGCUACAGUUUUCGCGUAGUAGGCAAGAACGGAAGCCACACCUCCGCUUCGCCUAUCGUUAAUCUACCUCUGGGAGAUGGAACCGCUUGGGAAGCCGAACAAUUCGUUGCUAGGUACCUGGAACUCGAUGAAAUAGGCAAAGGAAGAUUCGCGAUAGUACGACGCGCGAGAGAUCGCGGCACAGGUCAGGAGGUAGCUCUCAAACAAACACCUCGUCAAAAGCAAUCUAGAUCUCUAACGCGCGCUGAGUACGACCUGCUGGCGUCAACGCAUCAUGGCAACAUCGUCAGGGCUUUCGCUCUCUUUGAGAAUGCGCCCCAACUCGGGGUCGAUACCAUCAUACUCGAGCUUGUUCGUGGUCCCACACUAUUCUGUUACCUAAGCAAAAAGAGCGAGUACACGGAAAGUAUGGCCAGCAAGUUCGCAAACCAGCUGCUCUCUGCGUUACAGUGGUUGCACCACAGAGACAAAGCCCAUUUGGAUCUGAAGCCCGAGAACGUGCUGGUCGAUCAAGAUACGGGAAUCGUGAAGCUGAUAGAUCUUGGCGAGGCGGUGCGUGGACCUGUCGAAGAGGUCGUGCCUCCUGCGGACCUCGAGUUCGCUGCACCUGAAUCAGUGCUCGGUAGGCCCGUCGGAACUUACACAGACAUGUGGGCUGCUGGUGUUUUCAUUUAUGUAUUACUUAGUGGUCUUUCUCCUUUCUUGGACGAUUCGGUCGAAGAGACGACGACAAAUAUUUUAAAAUGUGAUUUCUGUUUUCCUGAUGAAUACUUUGUGAUGAUAUCAAACGAAGCCAAGGACUUGCUUGGUAGGUUACUUUGCUUGAGGAGCGAAGACCGAGCCACCGCCGAAGUUUCCUUGGCUUCGCCGUGGUUUAAGGUUUCUAAAGGUGCUACAAUACCCUCGACGAGAAUGGCAGCGUUCACGGAGCGACGAGCGCACUGUUCAAAAUCACAUCGAGAUCAUCGCAAUAGUUUCUAUACUUAAGUCACUCUUAGCUAAUUAUCAAAUGCGAUAUUACGGAUUAUUUUAUGUGUAAAUACAAGACGUAUUUAAAUUUUGUAAA